rnacentral:lncRNA from 1 species
AUGGCAUUUAGAGGCUUAAUCCGGCUUCCAGGAAGGGCAGAAGGAACCUCGCUGUUGACCAGGACGAGACUUGGAGCAGGAGCUCAGCGAGGGCUGCACGGUGCCUUCACCCGUGCUCUGCUGUGCUGUAGGUCUGCAGACAACAGGUCCGUCCUGUUGGAUUCCUGGAAAAAGUCACCUUUGGUGGGCCAUACCACAGGCAUAAAGCCCUGUCAAUUUGGUCUGGCUGCAAGAGACCAGCUAGAGACAGCGUCAUCCAACUCUCACAAAUACAUGUGCCUCUCAAGAUGGCCUAUGCUGGCUGCAGGAGGACAGUCUUGGGGCCACCGCAAGUACAGGCGAUCCAUGCCGCAAGGCUGCACCAUCUGCAGGAGCCUCUGGCUCCAUAGGGACUUCUCACGUGGUGACAAGGAAGAGAAGCAGGAGGGUGCCUAGCAUACUGUGCACAUAGCUUAUAUACAUAGUGGCUGGGCAACCUUCUACCCUCUCCCCAGUUCUCUCUCUUGCAAGAGAAAAUGCUCGAGAUAAAAUACAUCAAGGCAGAGUCCUCCUUCAACUUCCCAGCCUUCAACUCCC